UUUUGAUAUUUUGUUGUCAAUUUUUAUUAAAAUUAUAAUGUCAAUAUUGUUCAAUUUAUUCACUUGUUCAGAUGGUAAUUGGUAACUCUUUUAAUCCACAUUUGUUAUCUGUGAUUUUUCACGUGUUAUUAGUUUUUUGAAUCAUUAGAUCAAAACUGGUGUUUAUCAACUUUAUUGAAUGUGCCUUCUCUUCUGUCUUGGCUGACAACCAACAUAACAUUUAUUGCUUAAGAAAUAUCUUCUCCACUGACAUGGAAUAUGAAUUACACUGUGGUAAUCCAUUCGAAGGUGUUCAUCAAAACCAACCUAGAAGUAUUUUAUGUUGUCUUGAACAAUAAAUAAGCUGACUAGAAGCAUGUCUCCAGUCAGUAAUAAACUAAACCAUGGAUCAUCUGGUUGUUUAGUUUCACGCGAAAUUCGAGAAUUGGACCAUAUAGUAAGUCGAUUGGAACAAGGCUCAGUAUUAACUAAAUUUUACCCUAAAGGUAAACCAGAGAAGCGGUUCUUUUGCUUACGCAAAAACACUCGUGAAUUGGUUUGGUUCAAACCUGUUGGAGGUCGUAAUGUACUUGAAAAUUACAUUGAUUUGAGGCAUGUUAAAGAGGUACGGAUUGGUCCAGCUUCCAAGAUAUUUGAACGUUGGCAAGAUGACGCUCGAAAAUGGGAAAAAGGUCAAUGUUUGGUUGUUCUUUAUGGCCAACGAUUUAGGUUAAAAAAUCUUUCCUGUGUUGCCAUGUCCAUUAAUGAAUGUGAACAAUGGGUUAGAGGAAUUCGUUAUUUAUCAGAAGAGAUUCAAAAUUGUUCCUAUUUAAUUCAAAUUGAAACCUGGUUGACUCGUGAAUUUACAGCCUUGGACGGUGGCCGAGCAAGUUUAACAUUCAAAGACCUUAAACCAUUCCUGUCCAAGAUUAGCUGUAAAGCGACAACAGAUGAACUAAAGCGUUAUUUUUUACAAGUUGAUUUACAAGCAUCAAGUGAAAUUUCAUUUGAUGCAUUUUGUAAAUUGUACAGAGCCAUGGUUGAUCAAAGACGAAUAUUUGACCAAUAUUUUUCCAGUUAUACUCAGAAUGGUCGAACCGUUAGUUUAAAGGAUUUUAUUUCGUUUUUAAAUUUCCAAUCAAUGGAAGGUGAUAAAAUUGAUGAAAAGACUGGUUCAUUUUUAAUGAGAGAAUUUAUUUCCACUGCAAAUCGAUAUCAGUUAAGUGAUUCUGUUCAUCAAUUUCCACCUCAUCGUCAUCAUCACCAACCUCGACCACUUUUAAAUAACUCAGAGGAACCGUAUUUCACUAUUGACGAGUUUAUGAAUUAUGUUUACUCUAAAAACAAUCAAAUUUGGGAUAAAAAAUUUGAGUCAGUACAUCAUGAUAUGAACCGACCGUUAACUCAUUAUUGGAUCGCCUCUUCCCAUAACACUUACCUUACUGGUGAUCAAAUUAGAAGUGAAUCAUCUAUUGAUGCUUAUGCCCGUUGCCUGCGAAUGGGAUGUCGAAGUAUUGAACUUGAUUGCUGGGAUGGACCAGACGGUUUACCUUUAAUUUAUCAUGGCCACACUAUAACUACUCGAAUCAAAUUUAUUGAUGCUGUUAAAACAAUCAAGGAACAUGCUUUUGUUAAAUCUGAUUAUCCGGUUGUCCUUUCCAUUGAAAAUCAUUGCUCACUUCCUCAGCAAAGGAAGAUGGCUCAUGCAUUUAUUGAAAUUUUAGGAGAUUAUCUACUUACUCAGCCAAUUGACAAAGAUGAAACUGAAAUGCCAUCUCCGAAUCAGUUGAAACGCAAAUUUAUCAUCAAGCACAAAAAAUUAUCAGACAAUGGAGAACCCAGUUUGUCUCUAAAAAACUCAGAUGAUAACAAUCAGGAAGUUGAUGUUAAUACUUCCAUCAAAAGUGGGAUUUUGUAUCUUAUGGAUGAUUCGUCGGACCGGGAAUGGAAGCCUUACUUGUUUAUGUUGACAAAUACCAAGAUGUAUUAUGCUGAAUACAAUCCUGAUGAUGAAGAUGAAAGUGACGAUAGACCGGCUCAUAAGAUUGACUCUUCUGGGCCAGCAUCUAAUGAUGAGCUUCAUUUUGGUGAAAAAUGGUAUCACGGAAGAUUACCCGGUGGUCGUCAACAAGCUCGUGAAUUACUUGAAAAAUACUCACACUUUGGUGAUGGGACCUUUUUAGUGCGUGACAGUGAUUCAUACGCUGGUGAUUAUUCAUUAUCUUUCUGUUGGGAAGGAAAAGUUAACCAUUGUCACAUCAAAACUAGACAAGAAAAGGGCCAAACUAAAUAUUAUCUGAUUGAUUCGGUUCCAUUUGAUUCGUUAUACAGUUUAAUCACUCAUUAUCAAUCUCAACCUUUAAGAUGCAAAAUGGGAGCCAUUUUCCUUACCGAGCCAGUACCUCAAUUGAAAAGUCACGAAAGUAAAGAAUGGUAUCACUCAUCAAUAACUCGACCUGGGGCUGAAGAUUUAUUGAAACAAAUCCAGGUUGAUGGUUCAUUUCUGGUUCGACCCAGUGAAAAGGAGGAAAAUUGUUUUGCUAUUUCUUUCAGGGCCGAGGAUAAAAUUAAACACUGUCGUAUAAUUCAGGAAGGACGACUGUUUGUCAUUGGAAGUGCAAAAUUUGAGACUUUAGAAGAGCUAAUUAAAUGGUAUCAAAAGUAUCCCUUGUAUAAAAAUGUUAAGCUCAAAUAUCCAAUCAGUGGCGAUUUCAAAAAUGGUGUGAAGGGCAUUGAAAGUAGUGUUCGUGGUGGACAGGAUGAAAAUUAUUUGGAUCCUAAUAAUUGUCAAUCUGGAUUAACUGUGAAAGCUUUGUUUGAUUAUCAUGGACAAAAAGAAGAUGAACUUUCAUUUUGUAAACAUGCUAUUAUUACUAAUGUUGUUAAGGCAGAUCCUUGUUGGUGGAAGGGAGACUAUGGUGGCCUCAGAAAUCAUUGGUUCCCGGCUAAUUUUGUUGAAGAGAUUGAACCAAAUGAUAAUUUGAAUGACAAGUUUGAUGAUCAAAUGCCCAUCGGAUGUCUUCAAAAAGGAAGUAUUGACAUUGUUGAAUGUGCUGUUGCUGCAUCAAACGUUCCAAUCAAUGGAAAAGAAUGGGUUUUCAAAAUUGUUUCACCCUCGCAAGUUGAGCCUAUUGAGAUAUCUGCAUCUAGUAAAGAUGAAAUGAUUGAUUGGAUCCAGUGUAUUCGAGAAACUGCUCAAUCUACUCAUCAAAAAAUUUGUCAAAGCAAAGAGAUUGAACGUAAAGAACGGGUCGCACAGGAAUUGUCAAAUCUUAUAAUUUAUUGUCGCUCUGUCCCGUUUGUACCUGAAAAGAUCGGCAUCUUUACAGAAAUGUCGUCUUAUCCUGAGACAAAAGUGGAAAAAUGGUUGAGUCCACAAAAUUGUCCUGCUUUCAAUGAGUAUCACUUCAAACAAUUCAGUCGAGUUUAUCCUGGAAUGAGAAGAUUAGAUUCAUCCAAUUACGAUCCUGUUCGUAUCUGGAACGCAGGAGUUCAAAUGGUGGCUCUAAAUUAUCAAACACCUGAUCGACCAAUGCAGUUAAAUCAAGGCAAAUUUCUUGAAAACGGUGCAUGUGGUUAUUUAUUGCGACCCAAUUUCAUGUUUGAACCAGGGUUUGAUGUCUAUAAACCCCCCAAAAUCAAUCCUGUAACUAUGACUAUUCGAGUUAUUGGAGCUCGCCACCUUACCAAAAAUAGUCGAGGUAACAUUAGCCCAUUCAUUGAAGUUGAAAUUGUCGGAGCUGAUUAUGAUUGUCGGAAGGUUAAGACAGGAACAUGCCAUGACAACGGAUUUAAUCCAUGCUGGGAGGAAACUUUCAUUUUUGACAUUGAAUGUCCUGAUUUGGCUUUAUUGAGAUUCGUUGCUUACGACGAGGAUAGCUUUGGUGAUCCUAAUUUUGUUGGUCAAGCUACUUACCCAUUUAAUUGCUUGCGUCAAGGGUAUAGAAGUGUUCCCCUCAAAAAUGAAUACAGUGAAGAACUGGACUUAUCAUCUCUAUUAGUUCAUGUCAAGAUCAACAAAAAUGAAUUUGCUCUCUAAACUAAUAUUUAAUUUCCACCAAUCCACCAUUCCUGAUAAUAACUAAUCAAGCAUAAUCAACUCGUGUCAAUUAUUUAAGAUAAAUGGUUAAAUUGUUGCCAUCAACAUUAAUUAUUCUUUAAGUGUCAAAAUUAUUUUCCAAAGUCUAAUGUUGUCCCAAUACAGAAUCGAUAGGAAUGGCAAUGGUGAAGAAGCUGAUGAUAAAAACCAGGAGAACUGAGGAGAAACCAGAACGAGGAUGAUGACUGCGCAGCAUUUUUCUUUUCGCUCUUCAUUCUCAUCAAUCGAUCGAUCCUUCUACUACAAUACGAGAGAUGAAUCCAACUUAAGAUAUGAGCACAGAAAACGAGAGAAGCAAAGGCAAAAGAAGAAAAAAGAAGAUCAUUAUGUUCAUCAUCAUCAGCAUCAUCUUUUUGAGUUUCACUGAACACUUUCAAGAGAAGCAAGAGAGCUGGAAGAAAGAAAAAGCAGUGGAAAAAAGAGGAACAAGAUGUGGAUGAUGAGAAUGAUGAGAAUGAUGAUGGUGAGAGAAAGAGUGAAGCAAGUUUCCUCAAUAGUUUCCUUUUGGGUUUCCUUGUCUUCCGUUAAUUCUUCAUGUCAACUCACAGUGUCCAAUCUUUAUCAUGAUUCCUGCUGAAAUAAUAUUUGAUACACUAAUCGAGUAUCAUCAUAUUUCUCAUUUUCAACCUAAUCAUAAGCAUACCGAUUUUAUUGUUAACAAAACUUGAAGUCAAUAUAAAUUUGGUGCAACAUCAACAUCAGUAAAUUUUUAGUGGAAA